CUAAAUACAGCUCAUCUUGGUCCAGAUUUUUGUUUUUGUUUUACUAUCUUCUGUUAUUUUCUCUGGAUUGUGGACCUUCUACUUUCUUUUAAGAUAUGAUAUCAGCGAUAUUUGAUGCAGAGAUAUGGAUGAGCCAUAUGCCCAUUGUCUGCAUAUGGACCAUCCACAACUAACCACAUUUUGGGACUGAUAACUGAACACUUUACCCGGCUUGAUGGUCAGACAGUCCAGUGGUGCCAGUGCAUGGCAGCCUCACCUCUUUCAGAAUGUCUCAGGGCAGCUGUGGCUACAAUCCAAUAGUUUGCCACCAUCUGGUCACCUUUGGCAUCAAUCUGUUUGUUUCUUAUCCUAAUAAAAAUACUAAUAAAAUAACUUUUGAAUAUGUUGUAAGCUAAAUUGACCAAUUCAUGAAUAUGCAGCAAGUAUUACUGAAAAAUCUAUAAAGACGACAUGCAACAUGAAAGCAUACUCAAGUGCUAUCAUUUAAUCCUGAUUGUGUUCUAAUGGCUUCAUGUACUUAA